rnacentral:rRNA from 1 species
UACGUAGGGGCCUAGCGUUGUCCGGAUUUAUUGGGCGUAAAGAGCUCGUAGGCGGUUCGGUAAGUCAGGUGUGAAAUCUCCACGCUCAACGUGGAGGCGCCACCUGAAACUGCCGUGACUCGAGUCCGGUAGGGGAGUGUGGAAUUCCCGGUGUAGCGGUGAAAUGCGCAGAUAUCGGGAGGAACACCAAUGGCGAAGGCAGCUCGCUGGGACGUUACUGACGCUGAGACGCGAAAGCGUGGGGAGCAAACAGG